rnacentral:rRNA from 1 species
CGGUUCACGCCGCGUGAGUGAAGAAGGUCUCGGAUCGUAAAACUCUGUUGUUAGGGAAGAACAAGUGCCGUUCGAAUAGGGCGGCGCCUUGACGGUACCUAACCAGAAAGCCACGGCUAACUACGUGCCAGCAGCCGCGGUAAUACGUAGGUGGCAAGCGUUGUCCGGAAUUAUUGGGCGUAAAGCGCGCGCAGGUGGUUUCUUAAGUCUGAUGUGAAAGCCCACGGCUCAACCGUGGAGGGUCAUUGGAAACUGGGGAACUUGAGUGCAGAAGAGGAAAGUGGAAUUCCAAGUGUAGCGGUGAAAUGCGUAGAUAUUUGGAGGAACACCAGUGGCGAAGGCGACUUUCUGGUCUGUAACUGACACUGAGGCGCGAAAGCGUGGGGAGCAAACAGGAUUAGAUACCCUGGUAGUCCACGCCGUAAACGAUGAGUGCUAAGUGUUAGAGGGUUUCCGCCCUUUAAUGCUGCAGCUAACGCAUUAAGCACUCCGCCUGGGGAGUACGGUCGC